rnacentral:rRNA from 1 species
GGCUUUUUGUUUAAUAAUUUAAAGUCUGGCCUGCCCAAUGAUUAAUUUGAAUGGCCGCGGUAUUUUGACCGUGCUAAGGUAGCAUAAUCAUUAGUUUUUUAAUUGAAGACUGGAAUGAAAGGUUUGAUGAGAAAAUAGCUGUCUCUAUAUAAAUUUUUGAAUUUAAUUUUUAGGUAAGAAAGCUUAAAUUUAACUGUUAGACGAUAAGACCCUGUAGAGUUUUAUUAAUUUUUCAUUUAUGUAUUUUGGGAAAAAAUUUAUUUAAAUGUUAUUUUAAUUUGGUUGGGGUGAUCAAAAAAUUUAUUCAACUUUUAUUUUUUAAUACAAAGAUAGUUGGUUAUUUGAUCCAUAAUAUAUUGUGAUUAUAAGAUUAAAUUACCUCAGGGAUAACAGCGUAAUUUUCUUUAAGAGUUCUUAUCGAAAAGGGAGAUUGCGACCUCGAUGUUGGAUUAAGAUAAAUUUUUGGUGUAGGUGCUAAAAUAUUAAGUCUGUUCGACUUUUAAAAUCUUACA